rnacentral:rRNA from 1 species
GACGAACGCUGGCGGCGUGCUUAACACAUGCAAGUCGAACGGAAAGGCCCUGCUUUUGUGGGGUGCUCGAGUGGCGAACGGGUGAGUAACACGUGAGUAACCUGCCCUUGACUUUGGGAUAACUUCAGGAAACUGGGGCUAAUACCGGAUAGGAGCUCCUGCUGCAUGGUGGGGGUUGGAAAGUUUCGGCGGUUGGGGAUGGACUCGCGGCUUAUCAGCUUGUUGGUGGGGUAGUGGCUUACCAAGGCUUUGACGGGUAGCCGGCCUGAGAGGGUGACCGGCCACAUUGGGACUGAGAUACGGCCCAGACUCCUACGGGAGGCAGCAGUGGGGAAUAUUGCACAAUGGGCGGAAGCCUGAUGCAGCAACGCCGCGUGCGUGAUGACGGCCUUCGGGUUGUAAACCGCUUUCGCCUGUGACGAAGCGUGAGUGACGGUAAUGGGUAAAGAAGCACCGGCUAACUAUGUG